CUCUCUCUCUCUCUCUCUCUGUGGGAAGUGAUAAUUCUGUUCAAUGUGGAAAGAGAAAUUGAAGCCUGCAAUCACAUCUUUCACUCCUGAUGGCGACUUCCUCGCCAUUUUAUCUCCAAAUGGAACUGUCAAAAUCUGGAAUACAGGCAAUGGAAGUUUAUUGGCAGAUUGGAAGCAAUCAGAUGACUGCCCUGUUAAUUAUUCAUGUAUAGCCUGCAGUUCUGUUGGAAAGAAGCGUAAAAAAGAACAUGGGUCGCUCUUAUUAGCUCUUGGCACAAUUGAUGGAGAUAUUUUGGCUAUUGAUGCUAUCACCAAUGACACAAAGUGGAAAUCUAGUGGAUGUCUCCCAGGGUACAAUUUUUAAGUUUGUAAGAUUUGCAUUUCCUCUUUUGUGGUCGAUAUUAUGUGUGGAGAGUUUUAUAAGCAAGUGAAUAACUGUAUUUUCUCAGUGUAAGCUAAUUAAGUGAAUGCUAUUUUUUCAAAGAGCACCUGAUCUUUGGCUGUGACAUCCAUUCAUAAUGACUUAGAUAAAAUGUAAGAUGAGUAAUAAAAUACACUUUCUUUUUCCUUAUGCAGUGGAGUCAUUGGUCUCUCUUUUGCGAAUAAAGGCCGCACUCUGCAUAGCGUUGGCACUAAUGGAAUGGCAUAUAAGAUGAAGUCAGAAUCUGGAGAGCUGAUAAUGGAAUUUAAAGCAUCCAAGAAGCCCAUUUCUUGUGUGGCUUUUUCUAGUGAUGAGAAUAUUUUAGCUCUAGCUAGCAAUAGGACACGGGUUCUGAGCCUGGAGAAUGGAAAAGAGCUUCUAAGGUUCCCUGAUUACUUGGGUCCAGUGCAGGAUAUUUCUGUAGCUAAUAAUGCAAAGACUAUUAUUACAUCAAGUUUUGGGGAGAAAAAUCUUUAUUUAUGGAAAUGUGAUUUGAGUUCCAAAAGUGUAAGUCGUGGUCCUGUUCUUUCCAUGCGACAUCCUCCAUUAGUCUUUGAAUGCAAGAAUAGGGGUGAAGAAAAAGAAGAUGGUUUAGUUGUCUUAGCAGUAUCAGAGGCAGGCAUAGCCUGUGUUUGGAAUUUCGAGACCAUGUCACAAGAUGAGGUUAAUCCAACAAAAAUCAAAGCAAAAGGUAACAAAACUGAAACAAACCAGCAGAAGGGUGAAAAUUCCAAGAAGAGUCGCACUUCAAUUUUGGCUGCCAGAUUACAUAAUCUAGAGGAUGAAAAACAGUUGACAGCCAUUAUUGCUUAUGGUUUAAUAGAUUCUCCACAGUUUAGCAUAGUGAACAUCAACAACUCUGGGGGGAACAUUGUUGUCAGUGCUGCAGAUAAAACUGAAAAUGCUGGAGAAAAUGGAAUUCUGCCUAGGAAAGAUCUCCAUGAUUUGGAAUCAGAAGCAACACUUGCCUCAACCCAAAAUAAAAAAACAAAGAAGAAACAAGCUGCAUCUGAUAUGAUAGGAGAUGUUGAUUCUGAUAAUUGUGAGGCUAUGGAUGGAGUCCUCGUGGAAGAUGAUAUGAAUGAGCCAACCAUGGGUGAGAAACUUGCAAGCUUAAAUUUACAAGAUAUUGAUAAACCCAAGAGACAUGAGAAACAGGAAUCACCUCCUUUGCCAAAGCCACCUAGUGCAGACUCAGUCAAUGUUGUUCUCAAGCAAGCAUUACAUGCUGAAGAUCAUGCUCUUCUACUAGAUUGCUUGUAUACCCAAGAUGAGAAGGUUGUUUGCUCUUUUUUUGUUAAGGAUGAUGGUACAGUAAGGAACAAAAGUCCACAAUAUAACAGAAUAACAGAUAAAGUAAGGGCAUUUUGUACUAUCAUUAAUUAGUUGCUGUAUAUGCUACCUAGGGGUGUAAUCUAGUCAAUAUAAUGCACUACUUUGAAUUCAACUAAAAAAACUCAAGGCUUGAAGCUCAACUUACGUUACUAAAAUUUCAUGUCAAGUUUUUAAUCAGUUUUAAGUUAAAGCUUGAAUGAACUCCAGUGAGCUGAGUCUUGUUUUUACAUAUUUAGGAUAACAUAAUAAAUAUUCUAAAUUACUAUUUACAAAUGACUCAUGAUAUAAAUAUAUUUAAGGUUUUAUGAAAAAUUAAGUAGUCAAUUGGACUCGUGAGCUACUUGAGUGAAUUAUUUUUCAAACUCAGCUUGACUCGAGCUACUCAAUAGAAGUAUAGUUGAGUUUCAAUACUUUGCCAGUCAGAGUAGUAUAGCUUGACUUUUUACAUCCCUGAUACUGCCAAUGUACUUGGGUGCAUUGCCUUUGUGUGUUUCCAUUCAAGCUGAUUCUUAUUCUUUCAAUUGUCGAAUGACAAAAAAAUCAUGUUUUACAGGUUAUUGCAAAUUCAAUCUCCCAGCUUAAUCCAUCUGAUGUCCUCAAGCUUUUGCACUCUCUUCUAACCAUAAUUGAUUCAAGGGGAGCAAUCUUGGCAUGUGCCCUCCCUUGGCUAAAACGUUUACUUCUUCAACAUGCAAGUGGAAUAAUGUCCCAGGAUUCUUCUUUGCUUGCCCUGAACUCUUUAUAUCAGCUAAUUGAAUCCAGAAUCUCAACUUUCCAAUCAGCUAUUCAGCUGUCAAGUUGCUUAGACUUGCUCUAUGCAGGGGUGGUUGAUGAUGCAUCAGAAGAAAAUGAAACAGUAAUUCCAGUAAUUUAUGAAGACAAGGAUGAAAGUGAUGAACAAGAAUCUGAUGAGGCCAUGGAAACUGAUCAAGAUAGUGAAGAAGAGGAAGAAGAAGAAUUUGGUGGACUUAGUGAUCUUGAAAGAGGUGAUGACAUGAGCGAAUAAAUAUAACGUCAUCCAAGGCUAUUUUGCGUUGUUCAUGGGAACAAUAUUUAAAACGGAUUUGGAAUUUUAUGUUCUGGGGACGUUCAUCCAUGCCAGUCCUCAUGAUGAGAGUCUGCCCGACUCUAAUGGCUUUGUUACAAAAAUCAUUUUCCUGGAGAUAAGAGAACAUUUUGGAUUGGCGGCGGACUGGAUGAGUUUCAAAGAAAUGCCUUGGUUCUGCUACUUCUGAUCGUGUUAUUACUAGCUAACAUGCAAGAAGCUUGAUUUUAUCGGCUCAACCAUUUGUCAAUUUGACUUCCUUGAUAAAACGGAUUGCAGGAUUCUGAUCAUUACUACUUCACAAAGAAACCACGUUAACUGUUGUACCUUAUCUUUCUUUUUUCCCGUUAUGUAAAUGAUUUUGAGUGAUUUGCUGAGCAAAAUCUCAACCUUUCUUAGAAAUGAAAGACCCACAUUGACAUUCUUGACUUUGCAUAUUGAACAAAAUCUCAACCUUUCUUAGAAAUGAAAGACCCACAUUGACAUUCUUGACUUUGCAUAUUGAACAAAAUUCAAACCAAUGAACAGUUUCAUAUUAGUAAGAACUAAAAGCACCUU
rnacentral:misc_RNA from 1 species